CCAAUAGCGUAUAUUAAAGUUGUUGCAGUUAAAAAGCUCGUAGUUGAAUUUCGGGAUCAAUAUAUCGGUCGUGCCAUCGGUACGUACUGGUAUCAUUGGUUUCUCCUUUCUGACGAACCAUGAUGUCAUUUAUUUGGUGUCGUGGGGAAUCAGGACUGUUACUUUGAAAAAAUUAGAGUGUUUAAAGCAGGCUCACGCUUGAAUACAUUAGCAUGGAAUAAUGAAAUAGGACGUUUGAUUCUAUUUUGUUGGUUUCUAGGAUCGACGUAAUGAUUAAUAGGGAUAGUUGGGGGCAUUAGUAUUCAAUUGUCAGAGGUGAAAUUCUUGGAUUUAUUGAAGACUAACUACUGCGAAAGCAUUUGCCAAGGAUGUUUUCAUUAAUCAAGAACGAAAGUUAGGGGAUCGAAGACGAUCAGAUACCGUCGUAGUCUUAACCAUAAACUAUGCCGACUAGGGAUCGGAUGAUGUUAAUUUUUUAAUGACUCAUUCGGCGCCUUACG
rnacentral:rRNA from 1 species